CCGACAAAGCGCCCUUGUCCGAGUAGGUGCGCAGCUGGUACACCUCGCGCUCACGGGCCACCUUCUGCUCCAGUUGCUCCACCUCUUCCCUGGGAGUGAUUUAUUCCAAGCAAGCCUCUGAAUCCGAUGGAGAUGCUGUCGCAUGAACGAUGUGUAUGGGAGACGUGGAACCGGAUCCAACUGCUUUAGGACAUCUGACAUUGUGCUUAUGACGCUGCUUGAUAACACAGCCUAUUGGAGCUGAAUAAAGUAUCAAUUAAUUUAUUGCUUGGUUGUUCAUCGGAUGGAGAGGACGAGAUGGAACCAGACACCACUGCCACCUCUUCGGACCCCCUGGAGAACCUUACCACCGUCUCCGAAAUGUGACCUGGCUCAUCUGGACACCACGUUUCGGCAAGUGGACCCAUUUUACAACU